rnacentral:rRNA from 1 species
UCGUCACACUAUCAUUAACUGAAUCCAUAGGUUAAUGAGGCGAACCGGGGGAACUGAAACAUCUAAGUACCCCGAGGAAAAGAAAUCAACCGAGAUUCCCCCAGUAGCGGCGAGCGAACGGGGAGGAGCCCAGAGCCUGAAUCAGCAUGUGUGUUAGUGGAAGCGUCUGGAAAGGCGCGCGAUACAGGGUGACAGCCCCGUACACAAAAGCGCAUGUGCUGUGAGCUCGAUGAGUAGGGCGGGACACGUGGUAUCCUGUCUGAAUAUGGGGGGACCAUCCUCCAAGGCUAAAUACUCCUGACUGACCGAUAGUGAACCAGUACCGUGAGGGAAAGGCGAAAAGAACCCCGGCGAGGGGAGUGAAAAAGAACCUGAAACCGUGUACGUACAAGCAGUGGGAGCCCCACCACCAAAGCAUUUGCUGUACCGCGUUGACGGAGCGAAGCGACGUCAAACCGAUAAAACAGCAGUGUAAAGUGAGCCGCAGGGCGCUUUGCGCGACAGCGCAAAGGCAGGCGGUUUCGCGUAGCGAAAGCGAAUGCUUUGGGGUGGGGUGACUGCGUACCUUUU